GACCAUCCUCCAAGGCUAAAUACUCCUGACUGACCGAUAGUGAACCAGUACCGUGAGGGAAAGGCGAAAAGAACCCCGGCGAGGGGAGUGAAAAAGAACCUGAAACCGUGUACGUACAAGCAGUGGGAGCCUCUUUAUGGGGUGACUGCGUACCUUUUGUAUAAUGGGUCAGCGACUUAUAUUCUGUAGCAAGGUUAACCGAAUAGGGGAGCCGAAGGGAAACCGAGUCUUAACUGGGCGUUAAGUUGCAGGGUAUAGACCCGAAACCCGGUGAUCUAGCCAUGGGCAGGUUGAAGGUUGGGUAACACUAACUGGAGGACCGAACCGACUAAUGUUGAAAAAUUAGCGGAUGACUUGUGGCUGGGGGUGAAAGGCCAAUCAAACCGGGAGAUAGCUGGUUCUCCCCGAAAGCUAUUUAGGUAGCGCCUCGUGAAUUCAUCUCCGGGGGUAGAGCACUGUUUCGGCAAGGGGGUCAUCCCGACUUACCAACCCGAUGCAAACUGCGAAUACCGGAGAAUGUUAUCACGGGAGACACACGGCGGGUGCUAACGUCCGUCGUGAAGAGGGAAACAACCCAGACCGCCAGCUAAGGUCCCAAAGUCAUGGUUAAGUGGGAAACGAUGUGGGAAGGCCCAGACAGCCAGGAUGUUGGCUUAGAAGCAGCCAUCAUUUAAAGAAAGCGUAAUAGCUCACUGGUCGAGUCGGCCUGCGCGGAAGAUGUAACGGGGCUAAACCAUGCACCGAAGCUGCGGCAGCGACGCUUAUGCGUUGUUGGGUAGGGGAGCGUUCUGUAAGCCUGCGAAGGUGUACUGUGAGGUAUGCUGGAGGUAUCAGAAGUGCGAAUGCUGACAUAAGUAACGAUAAAGCGGGUGAAAAGCCCGCUCGCCGGAAGACCAAGGGUUCCUGUCCAACGUUAAUCGGGGCAGGGUGAGUCGACCCCUAAGGCGAGGCCGAAAGGCGUAGUCGAUGGGAAACAGGUUAAUAUUCCUGUACUUGGUGUUACUGCGAAGGGGGGACGGAGAAGGCUAUGUUGGCCGGGCGACGGUUGUCCCGGUUUAAGCGUGUAGGCUGGUUUUCCAGGCAAAUCCGGAAAAUCAAGGCUGAGGCGUGAUGACGAGGCACUACGGUGCUGAAGCAACAAAUGCCCUGCUUCCAGGAAAAGCCUCUAAGCAUCAGGUAACAUCAAAUCGUACCCCAAACCGACACAGGUGGUCAGGUAGAGAAUACCAAGGCGCUUGAGAGAACUCGGGUGAAGGAACUAGGCAAAAUGGUGCCGUAACUUCGGGAGAAGGCACGCUGAUAUGUAGGUGAAGUCCCUCGCGGAUGGAGCUGAAAUCAGUCGAAGAUACCAGCUGGCUGCAACUGUUUAUUAAAAACACAGCACUGUGCAAACACGAAAGUGGACGUAUACGGUGUGACGCCUGCCCGGUGCCGGAAGGUUAAUUGAUGGGGUUAGCGGUAACGCGAAGCUCUUGAUCGAAGCCCCGGUAAACGGCGGCCGUAACUAUAACGGUCCUAAGGUAGCGAAAUUCCUUGUCGGGUAAGUUCCGACCUGCACGAAUGGCGUAAUGAUGGCCAGGCUGUCUCCACCCGAGACUCAGUGAAAUUGAACUCGCUGUGAAGAUGCAGUGUACCCGCGGCAAGACGGAAAGACCCCGUGAACCUUUACUAUAGCUUGACACUGAACAUUGAGCCUUGAUGUGUAGGAUAGGUGGGAGGCUUUGAAGUGUGGACGCCAGUCUGCAUGGAGCCGACCUUGAAAUACCACCCUUUAAUGUUUGAUGUUCUAACGUUGGCCCCUAAUCGGGGUUGCGGACAGUGUCUGGUGGGUAGUUUGACUGGGGCGGUCUCCUCCUAAAGAGUAACGGAGGAGCACGAAGGUUGGCUAAUCCUGGUCGGACAUCAGGAGGUUAGUGCAAUGGCAUAAGCCAGCUUGACUGCGAGCGUGACGGCGCGAGCAGGUGCGAAAGCAGGUCAUAGUGAUCCGGUGGUUCUGAAUGGAAGGGCCAUCGCUCAACGGAUAAAAGGUACUCCGGGGAUAACAGGCUGA
rnacentral:rRNA from 1 species